GCCUGGAUAGCUCAGUUGGCUAGAGUGUGGUGCUGAUAAUGCCAAAGUUGCAGGUUUGAUUCCUGCACUACAGGGGGUUGGACU